rnacentral:rRNA from 1 species
UACGUAGGGGGCAAGCGUUGUCCGGAUUUAUUGGGCGUAAAGCGCACGCAGGCGGUCUUUUAAGUUUCGAGUGACAGGUGGGGGCUUAACUCCCACAGGCCUUGGAAAACUGGAAGACUUGAGGACGAGAGAGGGACGCGGAAUUCCAGGUGGAGCGGUGAAAUGCGUAGAGAUCUGGAAGAACACCAAAGGCGAAGGCAGCGUUCUGGCUCGUAACUGACGCUCAUGUGCGAAAGCCAGGGGAGCGAACGGG